AAAAAUGUCAUUUUGGAAAGAUUUCCAGUAGCUGUAAGUCUUGCAACAAAUCUGAAGAGGCCUUCAGAUUGAAGACACUGUUGCUUUAAAACAGUCUCAUAACUGUCAUAACAUGCUAAAAACUCAAUAUGCAGGUACUAUGCUGUUUAUGAGUACGGAGUGACACUCAGGAUAAUUGUCUGAGUGCCAAGGAGAAACCCAACAGAUUUAC